GAUGAAGAACGUAGUGAAAUGCGAUACGUAAUGUGAAUUGCAGAAUUCAGUGAAUCAUCGAAUCUUUGAACGCACAUUGCGCCCCCUGGUAUUCCGGGGGGCAUGCCUGUUCGAGCGUCAUUACAACCCUCAAGCUCUGCUUGGUAUUGGGCCCCGCCAGUUCUGGCGGGCCCUAAAGUCAGUGGCGGUGCCUUCCGGCUCCGAGCGUAGUAAUUCUUCUCGCUCUGGAGACCCGGUUGUGUGCUUGCCAACAACCCCCAAUUUUUUAAGGUUGACCUCGGAUCAGGUAGGGAUACCCGCUGAACUUAAGCAUAUCAAUAAGCGGAGGA
rnacentral:misc_RNA from 1 species